rnacentral:misc_RNA from 1 species
GUUUGCUGAAAAAUUAACCAGAUAGAAUCAACAGUAAGCAAGUUAGCUCACAGUUCAAGUAGAGAAUUCCAGGGUUAUGUUGGUUCAUCAGACCUCAGCUAUCUCGACCAAGAACUGGAAAAUAUAUAUCAAAAGAAACUAGGCAAUGGUAAAGAACCAAAAUCAAUAGCUUCAUCUUCAUCGACUAGUGCGUUGAUAAAAGAUAGGACCAGACUGACAAGCACUAGCACGAAGAGGACCAAGUAGAAACCCAGCUUCAAUAUCCGAAUCUUCUUCUCAGACUCAAUGAACCUAAAAACUUCGGUCACAUCAAUUAGAUGCUG